rnacentral:rRNA from 1 species
UCCGUAGGUGAACCUGCGGAGGGAUCAUUACCGAGUUAUACAACUCAUCAACCCUGUGAACAUACCUAAAACGUUGCUUCGGCGGGAACAGACGGCCCUGUAACAACGGGCCGCCCCCGCCAGAGGACCCCUAACUCUGUUUUUAUAAUGUUUUUCUGAGUAAACAAGCAAAUAAAUUAAAACUUUCAACAACGGAUCUCUUGGCUCUGGCAUCGAUGAAGAACGCAGCGAAAUGCGAUAAGUAAUGUGAAUUGCAGAAUUCAGUGAAUCAUCGAAUCUUUGAACGCACAUUGCGCCCGCCAGUAUUCUGGCGGGCAUGCCUGUUCGAGCGUCAUUACAACCCUCAGGCCCCCGGGCCUGGCGUUGGGGAUCGGCAGAAGCCCCCUGUGGGCACACGCCGUCCCUCAAAUACAGUGGCGGUCCCGCCGCAGCUUCCAUUGCGUAGUAGCUAACACCUCGCAACUGGAGAGCGGCGCGGCCAUGCCGUAAAACACCCAACUUCUGAAUGUUGACCUCGAAUCAGGUAGGAAUACCCGCUGAACUUAAGCAUAUCAAUAAGCGGAGGA